rnacentral:rRNA from 1 species
AUGAACGCUGGCGGCGUGCCUAAUACAUGCAAGUCGAGCGGACAGACGAGGAGCUUGCUCCUCUGACGUUAGCGGCGGACGGGUGAGUAACACGUGGAUAACCUACCUAUAAGACUGGGAUAACUUCGGGAAACCGGAGCUAAUACCGGAUAAUAUAUUGAACCGCAUGGUUCAAUAGUGAAAGACGGUUUUGCUGUCACUUAUAGAUGGAUCCGCGCCGCAUUAGCUAGUUGGUAAGGUAACGGCUUACCAAGGCAACGAUGCGUAGCCGACCUGAGAGGGUGAUCGGCCACACUGGAACUGAGACACGGUCCAGACUCCUACGGGAGGCAGCAGUAGGGAAUCUUCCGCAAUGGGCGAAAGCCUGACGGAGCAACGCCGCGUGAGUGAUGGAGGUCUUCGGAUCGUAAAACUCUGUUAUUAGGGAAGAACAAAUGUGUAAGUAACUAUGCACGUCUUGACGGUACCUAAUCAGAAAGCCACGGCUAACUACGU